CUGGCCGUAAACGAUGACCACUAGACGUUGGAGGUAUCGACCCCUUCAGUGUCGCAGUUAACACGCUAAGUGGUCCGCCUGGGGAGUACGGUCGCAAGAUUAAAACUCAAAGGAAUUGACGGGGACCCGCACAAGCAGCGGAGCGUGUGGUUUAAUUCGAUGCAACGCGAAGCACCUUACCAGGACUUGACAUGUAUUCGCACCGACGGUAAUGCGUCGUGCUCUUCGGAGACGGAUACACAGGUGCUGCAUGGCUGUCGUCAGCUCGUGUCGUGAGAUGUUGGGUUCAGUCCCGCAACGAGCGCAACCCCUGUCGUUAGUUGGAUUUUUCUAGCGAGACUGCCGGUGAAAUUUAUGAUGGCG
rnacentral:rRNA from 1 species